rnacentral:rRNA from 1 species
AUGGUGGCGGCGGCGGCGAUCCUGCCGGAGCUGGCCACGCAGCUGGUGGUGCCGGUGGCGGCGGCGGUCGGCAUCGCGUUCGCGGUGCUGCAGUGGGUGCUGGUCUCCAAGGUGAAGGUCGCCCCCGAGCCGCGCGGCGAGGGCGGGUCGGCGGCCGGAGGAGGCGCCGGCGCGGGCGGCAAGGACGGCGCCAGCGAGUACCUCAUCGAGGAGGAGGAGGGCCUCAACGACCACAACGUCGUCCUCAAGUGCGCCGAGAUCCAGACCGCCAUCUCCGAAGGGGCAACCUCCUUCCUUUUCACCGAGUACAAGUAUGCCGGAGGGUUCAUGACCGUUUUCGCGGUCCUCAUCUUCGUCUUCCUUGGCUCCAUCGAGGGGUUCAGCACAAAGAGCCAGCCUUGCCAUUACAGCGUGGGCAAGACAUGCAAGCCUGCUCUUGCCAACGCCGCCUUCAGCACAAUUGCCUUUGUGCUGGGUGCGGUCACCUCGCUUGUGUCUGGUUUCCUCGGAAUGAAGAUCGCGACCUACGCGAAUGCCAGGACCACUCUCGAGGCAAGGAAGGGUGUCGGGAAGGCGUUCAUCACCGCUUUCCGCUCUGGUGCUGUGAUGGGCUUCCUUCUUGCUGCGAGUGGCCUUUUUGUUCUCUACGUCGCAAUCAACCUGUUUGGGCUUUAUUAUGGUGAUGACUGGGAGGGCCUUUUCGAGGCUAUCACCGGGUAUGGUCUCGGCGGUUCUUCCAUGGCUCUUUUCGGCCGUGUAGGCGGCGGGAUUUACACCAAAGCUGCUGAUGUUGGCGCUGAUCUUGUUGGGAAAGUAGAAAGGAACAUCCCUGAAGAUGACCCGAGGAACCCAGCUGUCAUUGCAGACAAUGUUGGUGACAAUGUUGGAGAUAUUGCUGGAAUGGGUUCAGAUCUCUUUGGUUCCUACGCCGAGUCGUCUUGUGCUGCUCUUGUUGUUGCCUCGAUCUCUUCCUUCGGAAUUAACCAUCAAUUCACCCCCAUGAUGUACCCACUCCUAAUUAGCUCAGUGGGUAUAAUAGCUUGUUUGAUAACGACUCUUUUUGCAACCGAUUUCUUUGAGGUGAAGGAGGUAGAUCAAAUAGAGCCUGCCCUUAAAAAACAGCUUAUUAUCUCCACUGCCGUGAUGACCGCUGGCAUUGCACUUGUCAGUUGGUUAGGCCUCCCGUAUACCUUCACAAUAUUCAACUUUGGUGCCCAGAAGACUGUGCAUAGCUGGCAACUAUUUUUGUGUGUGGCGGUUGGUCUCUGGGCUGGCCUAGUCAUUGGAUUCAUUACAGAGUACUACACAAGCAAUGCAUACAGUCCUGUGCAGGAUGUUGCUGAUUCCUGCAGAACUGGAGCUGCUACCAAUGUCAUCUUUGGUCUUGCUCUGGGAUACAAAUCAGUUAUUAUCCCUAUCUUCGCCAUUGCCUUCAGUAUUUUCCUCAGCUUCAGCCUUGCCGCGAUGUAUGGUGUGGCUGUGGCUGCUCUUGGAAUGCUCAGCACAAUUGCGACCGGUCUUGCCAUUGAUGCCUAUGGCCCUAUCAGUGACAACGCUGGAGGCAUCGCUGAAAUGGCUGGCAUGAGCCACAGAAUCCGUGAGAGAACUGAUGCUCUGGAUGCUGCAGGAAACACAACUGCUGCCAUUGGAAAGGGUUUUGCAAUUGGCUCGGCUGCCCUGGUGUCCCUUGCUCUCUUCGGUGCCUUUGUGAGCCGUGCCGGGAUCACAACUGUUGAUGUUCUGACACCAAACGUUUUCAUUGGCCUCCUUGUUGGUGCCAUGCUCCCGUACUGGUUCUCUGCAAUGACCAUGAAGAGUGUUGGAAGCGCGGCUCUCAAGAUGGUGGAGGAAGUGCGGAGGCAGUUCAACACCAUCCCUGGGCUCAUGGAGGGCACCGCCAAGCCUGACUAUGCGACAUGUGUGAAGAUCUCCACCGAUGCGUCCAUCAAGGAGAUGAUCCCCCCGGGUGCUCUGGUCAUGCUGACACCUCUUAUUGUCGGGACCUUCUUUGGCGUUGAGACCCUCUCUGGUGUCCUUGCCGGUGCUCUGGUUUCUGGUGUUCAGAUUGCCAUUUCAGCAUCGAACACCGGUGGUGCCUGGGACAACGCGAAGAAGUACAUUGAGGCUGGCGCAUCUGAGCACGCAAAGAGCCUGGGCCCGAAAGGCUCGGACUGCCACAAGGCUGCUGUGAUCGGCGACACCAUCGGGGACCCUCUCAAGGACACCUCGGGCCCCUCACUCAACAUCCUCAUCAAGCUCAUGGCGGUCGAGUCCCUCGUGUUCGCCCCCUUCUUCGCCACCUAUGGAGGCAUCCUCUUCAAAUAUCUUUAG